UUUCAUAUGUUGCUUGCUACGCAAUCCCAGUCAUUUUCAGCAAGCAACUCGGCAAUUUUCCCUCGGCUCCCGCUGUGCUCCCAGGCCUCCGACAUGGGAGGCUUGAGCCGGGGUCGCGCACUCUUCACCUGGUGCGGUGCCCACCACAACAUUGUUUGCGGGCGGGUGCACCAGAUCGGCACCCUGGCCCUCAUCGCCGCCAUUCCGUCUUCCUCCCUUUAUCCGCUGUUUCCGGCGAAACUUCGUUCGGCACGCUCUUUCCUCGCUCCAGUUUCCUCUCUUGGCCUCACCGGGGCUACGGGACUUCUUUCUCCCUGAGUAUCUAUAUCUACGAGGAGAGCGAGUUAGUUGUGCUCCGUGAGCUGAUGCGCGGGUGAGGCGGCAAGAUCUCAGUGGAGUCCUGCGUCAAGGGCCAGUGGGGUACGCAGUGAACCUUCUCAGUUAUUGCUUCCAUUCAAUAAGAUUGCAGGAUGACCACACCAUUUUUAAAGCUUGGAACAACUAUAUUAGUUGCAUCAGAAAAUCCACUCACACGCCUCUGGGGGACCGCACUGAUAAACGACCAUUAAGCUCUUUUCAUACGUGGAAAGAUAUAGUCAUCCCUGGUAAUGUUGAUGAUGGGCUGACUGCGUUCUAUGGUUCAAGGAUAGUCCAACCACUCCCCUUGUCAAAGAGGUAGACUGGCAAACUUGUUAGGCCGGGACCAGUGAAAGUUUGGUUGUCUUCAAUUAUUGGAACUUGCCAAAAAAUACCCAGAGAAGAUAUCAUGCAUAAUGAUUUUCUGAACAGUUGGAAUCUCCAGAAUUGCAACUCACUGGCCCUAAUAAGUUGGAAGGGUUGUGACAUCCAGGACACUCCGCUUUUAUGAAUCAUUGUUGUGGACUGCGUUCCUGUUAUCCUAUCAGACCAGGUAGAACUUCCAUUCCAGAAUGUGAUUGAUUAUACUCUGAUAUCCAUCAAAUAGCCAUCAACACAAAUUGGCCCCCAGCUGCUGGAAUAUCUGGAAUCCAUACCAGGUUGGUUAAUAUGAGGCGAUUGAAGGCAUGAUAGCUGGAGGCAGAGAAGUGAGGUGCCAUUGGGUAUAUGUUUCAGAAUCAAAAAAUUAUUCUAUCAUGACUCCAAUGUAGAGAUGUGUUCGGUAGUCCAUUGACACGUGGCUUUAAAGACCCACACUCAAAUCUCCAAAAAUAAUAAAGAAAUCGCGCGCGCUUGGCCCAGCUUGACCCGAAUCUUUAUUCGUAAAAGCUUCCAGGGAAAGGUGAGGAGAUUCCAUCAGUCUGUAGAAACCUUUUGGCUAAAAAUGUUAUUUUAGUAAAUAACCCUUUUGUGCUCGGAGCUGCGGCUCGGUGGUUCGCUUGUUUGAUUUUGUGAAGUUAGGAGGAAAACUUGCUCAAGAUUAAAAUAAGGAUUUACGUGCAUGCCCCACAAUUAAUUUGUAUUUACCUUUGUAGUUAU